UACGUAGGGUGCAAGCGUUAAUCGGAAUUACUGGGCGUAAAGCGUGCGCAGGCGGUUUUGUAAGACUGUCGUGAAAUCCCCGGGCUCAACCUGGGAAUGGCGAUGGUGACUGCAAGGCUAGAGUUUGGCAGAGGGGGGUAGAAUUCCACGUGUAGCAGUGAAAUGCGUAGAUAUGUGGAGGAACACCGAUGGCGAAGGCAGCCCCCUGGGUCAAAACUGAUGCUCAUGCACGAAAGCGUGGGGAGCAAACAGG
rnacentral:rRNA from 1 species